GCCCAUAUGAGAAACUUAGCUUCCAGGGCUUGGGCAGUGGGCAAAGGUUGAUGGCAUUUAGAUUAAGAGUUGCAUCUUCUUCACUCAUGCCUCCAGAGAGAAAGCAGAUGCCUGGAAGAAGAGAAAAAUAGAACAUGAAACUGAUGUUUGCCAGAGGAAGAUACAAGAACUGUGCCAGUCUGGAAUGUGAAGAACUACAGAAUUUGGGGAUAACUGGGAUAGAGACAGACACAGCUCACCUUUGGAUUUCCCACACUAGGAUAGUACACUGUACACUACAAGACAAUAAAUGUUUCUUGACUUGAACAAUAUAUGAAUGGAAUGGAAUAUUAUGGAAUAUCACUACUCCAUAAGAAAUGGCAAAAGGGAGAGUUUCAGAGAAAUCUGAGAGGACUCCUUUGAACUAAUGGAAAGGGAAAGAAGUAGAACCCAGAGAACAAUUUAUUCCAUAACAACAUUGAAAAGUAAAACAACUCUGAAAGACUAAAGAAUUCCAGUCACGUGUGACUGCAAAGGCCUGAGGAUGAUGCACGGGAUCCACCUUUUGAGAGAAGGAACCUAUUUCCAGCAAUGCUCCAUGACUGGGAGUCAUAAACAUCACCAUCUCUGAAGAACUCAAGUCAAAGGUCAGGCAAGAGAAAUGAUGAAGUACGUGGUGACCAGAAGUAGGAUGGCAACAUCACCUGGGAAGCAGAGCUCAAGAAAAGCUGUGGAAAGGAUGUCAUCCAAGAGAUGUGUAACUGCAAAAGAAGGCAGACUUAUUAUCGGUACCAAAAACAAGGAGUAAGCAGUGCCUCAAUGACAUUCACAUCAAAAGGUCCAGACAUGUUCGUUGGGGCCCUUGUGGGGAAUUUAUGAGAAGGUAUAGAUAAAAAUUAAACAGGAUAAGAAGGGUAUGGAUGAGUUCUAGUCUGUUCUUAUGGACAGAGAACCCAGAUUCCUGAGAUCAUAGAUCUUUUGAAAUGCUGAUUCCUUCCUUCUGAAGAAAGCAUUCUGUAAACUUU